UGCAAGUCGAACGGAAAGGCCCUGCUUGCAGGGUACUCGAGUGGCGAACGGGUGAGUAACACGUGGGUGAUCUGCCCUGCACUUCGGGAUAAGCCUGGGAAACUGGGUCUAAUACCGGAUAGGACCAUCGUUUAGUGUCGGUGGUGGAAAGUUUUUUCGGUGUGGGAUGAGCUCGCGGCCUAUCAGCUUGUUGGCGGGGUAACGGCCCACCAAGGCAACGAUGCGUAGCCGACCUGAGAGGGUGAUCGGCCACAUUGGGACUGAGACACGGCCCAAACUCCUACGGGAGGCAGCAGUAGGGAAUCUUCCGCAAUGGACGAAAGUCUGACGGAGCAACGCCGCGUGAGUGAAGAAGGCCUUCGGGUCGUAAAACUCUGUUGCCGGGGAAGAACAAGUGCCGUUCGAACAGGGCGGCGCCUUGACGGUACCCGGCCAGAAAGCCACGGCUAACUAC
rnacentral:rRNA from 1 species